CGGAGACUGGCGCAAUUGGCUAGCGCACGCGCUUUGGGAGCGCGGGGCUGUGGGUUCGAGUCCCUCGUCUCCGACCA
rnacentral:tRNA from 1 species